AAUAAAACAGUUACUUUUUAAUGCAACCUUAAUAAAUAUUGUGUUUUGUGCUCUAUCCAAUGACUAGUAAUGUCCAUUCACUAGUAAUCUCACCGUAUUGUAUUAUUAUAAGUACAUCUAAAUAAACUUUCUUUUACUUAUCCACUGUUUUUUUAAUUAAGUCGUUAGGUCCUAAGCCACAAAGUAAGAUUUUACACAACGCUGAAAAAGCACAAAUACUGCAAAUCAAUUUCUAAGAACAAUCUUAUAGAUAAAAUUC